rnacentral:rRNA from 1 species
AUUGAACGCUGGCGGCAGGCUUAACACAUGCAAGUCGAGCGAGCGGCGGACGGGUGAGUAAUGUCUGGGAAACUGCCUGCUGGAGGGGGCUAACUAAUGGAAACGGUAGCUAAAACCGCCUCCCAUCAGAUGUGCCCAGAUGGGAUUAGCUAGUAGGUGGGGUAAUGGCUAACCUAGGCGACGAUCACUAGCUGGUCUGAGAGGAUGACCAGCCAAACUGGAGCUGAGACACGGUCCAGACUCCGACGGUAGGCAGAAGUGGGGAAUAUUGCACAAUGGGCGCAAGCCUGAUGCAGCCAUGCCGCGUGUGUGAAGAAGGCCUUCGGGUUGUAAAGCACGUUCAGCGAGGAGGCGUUACUCGCAGAAGAAGCACCGGCUAACUCCGUGCCAGCAGCCGCGGUAAUAC